rnacentral:lncRNA from 1 species
CAUAAAUUAGUUGAAACUGGUGUUUCUGAAGCUUCUUUUAUGCGUUUGCUUUCCUGUUUUUCUCCUUCUUCUUUCCUUCAAUUGAGAUGGUGAAAGAUCUUCACUUGAAGACGGCGAAGGACAGUUAGUGGAAGGCUCUGAAUUGCCCGUAUUUGGCCAGGGAUCACUUCAGUGGACAGUUAAUGAAAGAGCAGAGGGAACUUGAAGGGAAGCCUUCCCUUACUGAGAAGCACAUGCUGCCCUGUGGCACUUCGUCAUGGAAUGCGAGCCUGAAGCAUACACAUCUGAAUUCACAGAAUAUUCUGAAUUGGAA